GAUGAACGCUAGCGGCAGGCUUAAUACAUGCAAGUCGUGGGGCAGCAGGUCUGUAGCAAUACAGAUGCUGGCGACCGGCAAACGGGUGCGGAACACGUACACAACCUUCCUUUAAGUGGGGAAUAGCCCAGAGAAAUUUGGAUUAAUACCCCGUAACAUAUAGAAGUGGCAUCACUUUUAUAUUAUAGCUCCGGCGCUUAAAGACGGGUGUGCGGCUGAUUAGAUAGUUGGCGGGGUAAUGGCCCACCAAGUCGACGAGCAGUAACUGGUGUGGGGGCACGACCAGUCACACGGGAAGUGAGACACGGGACCGACUGCUACGGGAGGCAGCAGGAAGGAAUAUUGGUCAAUGGACGAAAGUCUGAACCAGCCAGGCCGCGUGGAGGAUGAAGGUCCUCUGGAUUGUAAACUUCUUUUAUUUGGGAAGAAAGCUAUCUUUUCUUGGAUAGUUGGCGGUACCAGAUGAAUAAGCACCGGCUAACUCCGUGCCAGCAGCCGCCGUAAAAC
rnacentral:rRNA from 1 species